AAAUGAACAAACCAGUCCUAAGCAAAAAUGGCUAUUGUCUAAUAAACGUUAGAGAAAGAUGAAUAAAGCCAUCGAUUCUGGUUAUUGUGUACACUGCCAAGAGGUCCUUAAUGCUAUCUGGUAAUCUCCAAGUAGUGCUAAGAAAAGAUUCAUGGGCAUAGUUUGAACAAGGAAUAAUAAUCUAGAGAUUGGAGGAAUUUUCCUUACUUUUUUGUCGGGUAAAGAGCAUAUACAUAUUCUCUAAAGAGACAUGUGCUCAUAGUAAUUUUGUGAUAUGUUUGCUCUUUGUUUACUUGCAGACAUUUUUCAUGGUUUUAUAAUGAAGGAAAUGAUAGAAGAUGGAAACAGUAGUAGAUUCUGAGUUGAAAGAUCAUAUAAUUACUGGAAAGCACAAAGUAGAAAAGUCAAUAUUUGGGCUAGAAUGUGAAGAUGCUAAGUCAAGGAACAUAACACCAGCUGAGCUGAUGGUGGAAAGAUGGAUGCUUUCUACUAUUUUAUAAGAAGACAGCAGAGAACCAAUCAAGAUGGAGAAGAGACAUGGAUGACAAACAGGUUUUUUCCACAUUUUGCUGAAACCACCAUCUGCAUACUCUCAACUGCAGAUUUACCAGAUUGCCUAUUGUUCUUUAAUUACUAGAUAAGAAGGGAUUGAUAACUACCUUAAAUGUCAUCAGAGAGCCUUAAUCCAGUAGCUGAUGGAAGCCAGAAGCAGAGAUUCACAGGUAAAUACUGGGCCAAAUUCCUGGAGUCCAGGUGUAGAGAAGGAG
rnacentral:lncRNA from 1 species